GUAUUGUAUGAAAAGAGAGAAUAUUAGCACUCUCCUUGAUAAGGAAGAAAGAAGUCAUACUGGUUUUUACAACACAAAUAUAGUUAAGGACUUAUCACCUGUUCUGUGGAAUCUAAUCAUGUUA
ensembl:snRNA